GCCCGGGUACCCGGCCGCGGGUGAUGUGGCCGACGUGCCGUCGUCCCGUCUUCUGCGAGGUCGAGGAGAGCCAAUCCCACCUCGCCGCCAUCUCCUUCAUCCAGCCGGCUGCCGCCUUGGCCGACUCCUCUCCCCCUCCCGUCCUCCUCCUCUCGCGUCUCCUUCCCGUCGUCAGGCCGCAUACUGCUCCACCCUUCCUCCUCCCCUCCCAUCGCUCCCCUCUAACGCUAGGAGUGGGUGAGGAGGCUGAGCCACUGCCCGCUGCUGGCCCGCAACACCUCCUGUUCGACCACGCCGAGGAAGCACUGAACCUUCAUCCUUGCGUCUGUGCAGAGACGACCCGAGCAUAUGUUGCUGCAUUGGGAGAUUUGGAGUACGUGCAUUGAGGCUUAAAUGUGCAAAUGCACACUGCUGGAGCGCCCUUCAGCAACGAGGAGGCCCAACGCGACACGGCCGCCGCCUGCGUCGGUUCUCCCCAGCACGACACGGCCGCCGCCGGCAUCGGUUCUCCCCAGCACAACCACUCUGAAGACGCCCAGGAAAUCGGAUACUCUGAAGCAGUAAAACGUUUCGAGUUCGAUGGUCAGCUUGGCCCAUACAAUUUGGAUUCUUUUGGAGACUGGAAACAACUUUAAAGCUACUUGUCACAAAGUGUCAUUGAACGCCUUGAGCCAAUUGGUGGCAAUUGCAUUGGAGACAUCAUGGAUGGAUAGAGCUCCCCAAAUGGAUAUGGAGACGAUUGAUGGAAACACUUAGAGAAGACAAAUUUGCAAAGAAAGCGCCUGCACACACUGAGAGGAGAGGAUGCUAUUACACAACUAUCCCGCUUCGGUUAAGCACAGAAUUCUGGCAAAGUGUCACUGAAUAUUUCAGAGUUUAUAUCUUUUCUAUGAUGCCCAAAGAAAAUGUGUUUCUAAACCCUUUACUGUUUGUGGCAAUGCUUCUCAUGCUUCCCCAAACAAGCUAUUGCUACUUACAAUUCUGAGAGUAAUAGAACUUGCAUGAUGUGAUCAAAGUUCUUUACUUACUUGCAAUGCUUCCUUUCUUUGCAGCUUUGGAAUAUACAAUAAGGUCAAUGGGCAAUGGCUAGCAAUCAGGAUUAUCAGCUGUCCAAUCACCCAGAAACUUUGAGCUGAAAAUGGAUGGAUGGAUGCACUGUGUGAUAAGAUCAUGAAGGAAGUGUUUUGAAGAGUAUCCCGAGGUUGAGAACAUUUAUAGUGAAUUACAGGAAACAAAACGGUCUUACUCCAGUUCACAUCCAUGGUAACUAUCAAUAUAUAACUCCAGUUCAUGUUCUUCUAAUUAUACAUGAGGGUAUGAAAAAUCCACACUCUUAUGUGAAGGACGUGAGGUGUCGCUGAUGAGACCUUUGUGUUGGCCGGUGAUCAUGGGCAACGUUAUAUAGUUAGUUUGAUAUGUUAUAUGGUCCAGCUAGGUUCGAAGGAACGGGAUCUUUGGAUCAGUCCCAUAUUCAUGUUAGUUUUAUAACAAAUCGGUGAAAAUUACUUCUGUGUGUUGUUGCUUCAAGUUGAAGUUUGGUCACUUGUUUUCAGGUCUACCCCGCCGUCAUUUCUAUAAAAAUAAACAAAUUCUUUAUUUAUAGCCGACUGCCAUUUUCCUUUUGGGUAUGUGUUGGUCGCCCCUCAUCCGCGGCUGCUCGCGGGCGCUCCCGCAAUGCCGCGAGUAAAACUGGUGGUGGCCAUGGCAUUGCUGGCGGCUCUGCCUCUUGCGGUGACUUUGUAGAGUACAAGUCAAGUUUAAAGCUUUCGACCGCGACGGCUGAAAAACCAAAGUAAAUGCAUCAUAUAUAUUCUAAUAAAUGCAUGCGAAUCAUAGAAAAUAUGGUAAGCACCUAUCCUGCAAUUUAGGACUGGCGUGAUGUUGCUCUUUGUUGAUAGAAAUCAUACUUGCAUAGCUGUUUGAUUGAUUUGAUUAUAAUCAAACUGCACCGUCAUAAUAUUAUAUCCUUGCCAUAUUGUAAAGUUUCAGUUGGGUUGGUCACGGCACACUAUAUGCGAUAUGGCAAUGUUUUGUACCAAUCUUUGUGAUGUACUCCGGAAGAAAGGUCUGCACUCGCGUCACGCCCUUUCCUCUCCCUGCCGCCUUGCCCCUCUCCCUGCCUGCUCGUUGCCCCGGUCUUCUCUGAUGGUGCUCCUAGAUGUGCUAUACAUCACCUCCUCACCUCCUUGGCCACUUCGGUGCCCAUGGCUUUCGUGCUCGUUGGCAGGAUGGUGCAAGGCGCAACUCCGACGUGGUUCCUCACUGGUUGGAUGGCGUUCAGGCACAACCCUGGUGCCCUCUGAGUACUGCCUCGGCUACAACCUCCCUCUGUGAGCUCCAUCUUCCCCUGCUCUGCUUCGGCUACUAUAUGGGACAUGGCCAGGGCUAUGAUGAUCAGUUAUGGCUGAUAUAGGCAUGCUCUCAAGCAGUGGAGGCACUUGUGGGUAUUAAUUUGGAUCCUCCCUCGUUUCUUUGAGCUGUUUUGAGCACGUUCUUAUUUUAGUGGCUCUGUCCUUGGAUGGUCAUUUCUAAUGAGUGAUAACCAGGGCAGUUAAACCCUCGUAAGAACAUAUUGAUCCGGUGAUCCAUCCAGAAAUCCAGAAAUAAGUCCAUCCAUCCAGAAAUAAGAAUAGAAACUCCUCAGGCCGCUCCUCAGCGAUUUGGGAUUCCUGGCCGUCGGAUCUGGUUGCUUGAUGGAUCUUGGGCCGUCGGAUCGACCCCUGUAAUGACCUUGUCCGUCGGAUAAAAAAAAAUUACUGCUGGAAUGAAUAGUUACUCCCAAAAUGAGAUAUCUCGUGCCACCGCGUUUGAAUCACGUGCCCCAUCGGUCGGAAGCCAUUCUUGCUAGGGCGAUGAUGAUUAGCCGUGGGUAUCAAGUUGGGUCCUCCCUCUUGUCUCUAGAAUCCUUUUUGAUCCUGUGAUACUUAUUGUUCUGUCCUUUGGAUG